rnacentral:sRNA from 1 species
CCUUGAGCAUGGACAGCCUGGAUCUGCUGGGUGAAGGGAGAAGUUAUGUCCAGGGUGGGACAGAGAGGAUGGCGAGAGAUUUCCUCACUACUCAGAACAGCGGGAAAUUCAAAACUUAGGGAUUAUUUCUGAAAUUUUCCAUUUAAAAUUGACCAAGUGUAACUGAAACCAGAGAAAGCAAGACUGACGAUAAGGGAGGGGCCUCCUGUACUCCAAGAGCACUGAAUCUGGAAAAACUCAACACAUCGAUGGAGUCAUAUAUUUAAUUUUUUCUUAAAAGCCACCUGUGGGGUAUUGUAGAAACGCUGCGCUGCCUAUCACAGCUUGUGAUGUGACACGUUCAUUCUGCAAGUUUAAACUUCGCCUAGGUUGCAUCAUCCUCCAGUGUGUGUAAUCGCCCUCCUCAUACUGUUUAUCCAUUCAUUCAGCAGUGGACACCUGGGUUGCUUCUAGCUUUCGGCUAUUGUGAAUAAUUCUUCUGUGAACGUGGAUUUACAAAACUCUGCUUUCAGUUAUUUUCGUUGUAUACUCAGAAGUGGGAUUGCUGUAUCCUAGGAUAAGACUAUUUUUGUAAUUUUGAGAAACUGCUGUACUGUUUUUCCGUGGUGGCUGCACCAUUUUGCAUUCUGGGAUGUGACGUGGAACAGAAUUACCUUCAGAGUGAAGUUCAAAAACUCACUGGGAAUAAGUAUGGAGAAAUGAUGCUGCAAGCUGAUGAAAUAAAUUUACUAUAGGAACAAAA